GCGGGAUUAGUUUAGUGGUAAAACGUGAGCUUCCCAAGCUCAAGUCGGGGGUUCGAUUCCCCCAUCCCGCA
rnacentral:tRNA from 1 species